rnacentral:rRNA from 1 species
GACGUAGGGUGCGAGCGUUGUCCGGAUUUAUUGGGCGUAAAGAGCGUGUAGGCGGCCAGGUAGGUCCGUUGUGAAAACUCGAGGCUCAACCUCGAGACGCCGAUGGAAACCAUCUGGCUAGAGUCCGGAAGAGGAGAGUGGAAUUCCUGGUGUAGCGGUGAAAUGCGCAGAUAUCAGGAAGAACACCCGUGGCGAAAGCGGCUCUCUGGGACGGUACUGACGCUGAGACGCGAAAGCGUGGGGAGCGAACAGG